rnacentral:rRNA from 1 species
CAGCAGCAGCCACGGUAAUACGGAGGGAGCUAGCGUUGUUCGGAAUUACUGGGCGUAAAGCGCACGUAGGCGGACAGUUCAGUCGGGGGUGAAAGCCCGGGGCUCAACCUCGGAAUUGCCUUCGAUACUGGCUGUCUUGAGUAUGAGAGAGGUGUGUGGAACUCCGAGUGUAGAGGUGAAAUUCGUAGAUAUUCGCAAGAACACCAGUGGCGAAGGCGGCUCACUGGCCCGGAACUGACGCUGAGGCGCGAAAGCGUGGGGAGCAAACAGGAUUAGAUACCCCCGUAGUCCCUGUCUCUUAUAC